AAAGAUUAAGCCAUGCAUGUCUAAGUAUAAGCAAUCAUACUGUGAAACUGCGAAUGGCUCAUUAAAUCAGUUAUCGUUUAUUUGAUAGUACCUUACUACAUGGAUACCCGUGGUAAUUCUAGAGCUAAUACAUGCUAAAAACCCCGACUUCGGGAGGGGUGUGUUUAUUAGAUAAAAAACCAAUGCCCUUCGGGGCUGCUUGGUGAUUCAUAAUAACCAAACGAAUCGCAUGGCCUUGAGCCGGCGAUGGUUCAUUCAAAUUUCUGCCCUAUCAACUUUCGAUGGUAGGGUCUUGGCCUACCAUGGUAUCAACGGGUAACGGGGAAU
rnacentral:rRNA from 1 species